rnacentral:sRNA from 1 species
GUCGUAUCGGUUAGAUCGGGAUACUCAUCAAAUUAAUUCGAAAACCGAGACGCUACUUUGGUCAAUGGCGGGCCACAUGCCGCAAGGCAGCAGUAAUGCCGGUGGAUUACAAAGACGCAGAGAGCUCUCAAAUCUUAGCAAUAGGAGUUUUCAUCACAUCAUCGGUACGACCUAUUU